rnacentral:rRNA from 1 species
AAAUCCCACGGCUCAACCGUGGGGCUUGCUGGGGAUACUGCGGGCCUUGGGACCGGGAGAGGCCGGGGGUACCCCUAGGGUAGGGGUGAAAUCCUAUAAUCCCAGGGGGACCGCCAGUGGCGAAGGCGCCCGGCUGGAACGGGUCCGACGGUGAGGGACGAAGGCCAGGGGAGCGAACCGGAUUAGAUACCCGGGUAGUCCUGGCUGUAAAGGAUGCGGGCUAGGUGUCGGGCGAGCUUCGAGCUCGCCCGGUGCCGAAGGGAAGCCGUUAAGCCCGCCGCCUGGGGAGUACGGCCGCAAGGCUGAAACUUAAAGGAAUUGGCGGGGGAGCACUACAAGGGGUGGAGCGUGCGGUUUAAUUGGAUUCAACGCCGGGAACCUCACCGGGGGCGACGGCAGGAUGAAGGCCAGGCUGAAGGUCUUGCCGGACACGCCGAGAGGAGGUGCAUGGCCGCCGUCAGCUCGUACCGCGAGGCGUCCACUUAAGUGUGGUAACGAGCGAGACCCGCGCCCCCAGUUGCCAGUCCUCCCCGCUGGGGAGGAGGCACUCUGGGGGGACCGCCGGCGAUAAGCCGGAGGAAGGAGCGGGCGACGGUAGGUCAGUAUGCCCCGAAACCCCCGGGCUACACGCGCGCCACAAUGGGCGGGACAAUGGGAUCCGACCCCGAAAGGGGAAGGGAAUCCCCUAAACCCGCCCCCAGUUCGGAUCGCGGGCUGCAACUCGCCCGCGUGAAGCUGGAAUCCCUAGUACCCGCGUGUCAUCAUCGCGCGGCGAAUACGUCCCUGCUCCUUGCACACACCGCCCGUCACUCCACCCGAGCGGGGUCCGGGUGGGGCCUGGUCUCCCUUCGGGGAGGUCGGGUCGAGCCUGGGCUCCGUGAGGGGGGAGAAGUCGUAACAAGGUAGCCGUAGGGGAACCUACGGCUCGAUCACCUCCU